rnacentral:rRNA from 1 species
GACGAACGCUGGCGGCGUGCCUAAUACAUGCAAGUAGGACGCAGUUGCGAACGGGUGAGUAACGCGUAGGUAACUACCUAUUAGAGGGGGAUAACUAUUGGAAACGAUAGCUAAUACCGCAUACUAAUAGAUGGACAUGCCUUGUAUUAGGUAGUAGGUAAGGUAAUUGCCUACCUAGGCAACGAUACAUAACCGACCUGUGAGGGUGAUCGGUCAAUCGGGGACUGAGAAACGGCCCAGACUCCUACGGGAGGCAGCAGUAGGGAAUCGUCGGCAAUGGGGGGAACCCUGACCGAGCAACGCCGCGUGAGUGCAGAAGGUUUUCGGAUCGUAAAGCUCUGUUGUUAAGGAAGCGGUACUUAACCAGAAAGGGACGGCUAACUACGUGCCAGCAGCCGCGGUAAUUC